rnacentral:rRNA from 1 species
GGGUUGUGAGGUUAAGCGACUAAGCGUACACGGUGGAUGCCCUGGCAGUCAGAGGCGAUGAAGGACGUGCUAAUCUGCGAUAAGCGUCGGUGAGGUGAUAUGAACCGUUAUAACCGGCGAUUUCCGAAUGGGGAAACCCAGUGUGUUUCGACACACUAUCAUUAACUGAAUCCAUAGGUUAAUGAGGCGAACCGGGGGAACUGAAACAUCUAAGUACCCCGAGGAAAAGAAAUCAACCGAGAUUCCCCCAGUAGCGGCGAGCGAACGGGGAGCAGCCCAGAGCCUGAAUCAGUGUGUGUGUUAGUGGAAGCGUCUGGAAAGGCGUGCGAUACAGGGUGACAGCCCCGUACACAAAAAUGCACAUACUGUGAGCUCGAUGAGUAGGGCGGGACACGUGGUAUCCUGUCUGAAUAUGGGGGGACCAUCCUCCAAGGCUAAAUACUCCUGACUGACCGAUAGUGAACCAGUACCGUGAGGGAAAGGCGAAAAGAACCCCGGCGAGGGGAGUGAAAAAGAACCUGAAACCGUGUACGUACAAGCAGUGGGAGCCUCUUAAUGGGGUGACUGCGUACCUUUUGUAUAAUGGGUCAGCGACUUAUAUUCUGUAGCAAGGUUAACCGAAUAGGGGAGCCGAAGGGAAACCGAGUCUUAACUGGGCGUUAAGUUGCAGGGUAUAGACCCGAAACCCGGUGAUCUAGCCAUGGGCAGGUUGAAGGUUGGGUAACACUAACUGGAGGACCGAACCGACUAAUGUUGAAAAAUUAGCGGAUGACUUGUGGCUGGGGGUGAAAGGCCAAUCAAACCGGGAGAUAGCUGGUUCUCCCCGAAAGCUAUUUAGGUAGCGCCUCGUGAAUUCAUCUCCGGGGGUAGAGCACUGUUUCGGCAAGGGGGUCAUCCCGACUUACCAACCCGAUGCAAACUGCGAAUACCGGAGAAUGUUAUCACGGGAGACACACGGCGGGUGCUAACGUCCGUCGUGAAGAGGGAAACAACCCAGACCGCCAGCUAAGGUCCCAAAGUCAUGGUUAAGUGGGAAACGAUGUGGGAAGGCCCAGACAGCCAGGAUGUUGGCUUAGAAGCAGCCAUCAUUUAAAGAAAGCGUAAUAGCUCACUGGUCGAGUCGGCCUGCGCGGAAGAUGUAACGGGGCUAAACCAUGCACCGAAGCUGCGGCAGCGACACUAUGUGUUGUUGGGUAGGGGAGCGUUCUGUAAGCCUGCGAAGGUGUACUGUGAGGUAUGCUGGAGGUAUCAGAAGUGCGAAUGCUGACAUAAGUAACGAUAAAGCGGGUGAAAAGCCCGCUCGCCGGAAGACCAAGGGUUCCUGUCCAACGUUAAUCGGGGCAGGGUGAGUCGACCCCUAAGGCGAGGCCGAAAGGCGUAGUCGAUGGGAAACAGGUUAAUAUUCCUGUACUUGGUGUUACUGCGAAGGGGGGACGGAGAAGGCUAUGUUGGCCGGGCGACGGUUGUCCCGGUUUAAGCGUGUAGGCUGGUUUUCCAGGCAAAUCCGGAAAAUCAAGGCUGAGGCGUGAUGACGAGGCACUACGGUGCUGAAGCAACAAAUGCCCUGCUUCCAGGAAAAGCCUCUAAGCAUCAGGUAACAUCAAAUCGUACCCCAAACCGACACAGGUGGUCAGGUAGAGAAUACCAAGGCGCUUGAGAGAACUCGGGUGAAGGAACUAGGCAAAAUGGUGCCGUAACUUCGGGAGAAGGCACGCUGAUAUGUAGGUGAAGUCCCUUGCGGAUGGAGCUGAAAUCAGUCGAAGAUACCAGCUGGCUGCAACUGUUUAUUAAAAACACAGCACUGUGCAAACACGAAAGUGGACGUAUACGGUGUGACGCCUGCCCGGUGCCGGAAGGUUAAUUGAUGGGGUUAGCGGUAACGCGAAGCUCUUGAUCGAAGCCCCGGUAAACGGCGGCCGUAACUAUAACGGUCCUAAGGUAGCGAAAUUCCUUGUCGGGUAAGUUCCGACCUGCACGAAUGGCGUAAUGAUGGCCAGGCUGUCUCCACCCGAGACUCAGUGAAAUUGAACUCGCUGUGAAGAUGCAGUGUACCCGCGGCAAGACGGAAAGACCCCGUGAACCUUUACUAUAGCUUGACACUGAACAUUGAGCCUUGAUGUGUAGGAUAGGUGGGAGGCUUUGAAGUGUGGACGCCAGUCUGCAUGGAGCCGGCCUUGAAAUACCACCCUUUAAUGUUUGAUGUUCUAACGUUGGCCCCUGAUCGGGGUUGCGGACAGUGUCUGGUGGGUAGUUUGACUGGGGCGGUCUCCUCCUAAAGAGUAACGGAGGAGCACGAAGGUUGGCUAAUCCUGGUCGGACAUCAGGAGGUUAGUGCAAUGGCAUAAGCCAGCUUGACUGCGAGCGUGACGGCGCGAGCAGGUGCGAAAGCAGGUCAUAGUGAUCCGGUGGUUCUGAAUGGAAGGGCCAUCGCUCAACGGAUAAAAGGUACUCCGGGGAUAACAGGCUGAUACCGCCCAAGAGUUCAUAUCGACGGCGGUGUUUGGCACCUCGAUGUCGGCUCAUCACAUCCUGGGGCUGAAGUAGGUCCCAAGGGUAUGGCUGUUCGCCAUUUAAAGUGGUACGCGAGCUGGGUUUAGAACGUCGUGAGACAGUUCGGUCCCUAUCUGCCGUGGGCGCUGGAGAACUGAGGGGGGCUGCUCCUAGUACGAGAGGACCGGAGUGGACGCAUCACUGGUGUUCGGGUUGUCAUGCCAAUGGCACUGCCCGGUAGCUAAAUGCGGAAGAGAUAAGUGCUGAAAGCAUCUAAGCACGAAACUUGCCCCGAGAUGAGUUCUCCCUGACUCCUUGAGAGUCCUGAAGGAACGUUGAAGACGACGACGUUGAUAGGCCGGGUGUGUAAGCGCAGCGAUGCGUUGAGCUAACCGGUACUAAUGAACCGUGAGGCUUAACCUUACAACGCCGAAG